GGCGGAUCGCCAAUUAUAGAGGCACCCCUGCAAAAAUCCGUUAUUUCCAAACCCGCACAGCUCGCUACUGGGGAUUCCCGGGGGCAGACGGGGAGAGGGGAGGAGGCGGAAACAUUUUUGCCAGAUAACCCUCCUUUUUCCCCUCUUAUUCCGUCCCCGCCCCUCGCGUCAUCCGCUCGUCUCAUCUUCCCUUCUCUCUCGCCGCCUGGGGAGGAGGGCUCCGCCUCCCGGGAAGAGGCCGCCAUUGGCUCACUGCUCUGACGGGAAAGAUGGUUGUCCAGGAGUUCACUGUUGAUCUGAACAAGCCUCUUGUUUUCCAGGUUGGUCAUCUCGAGGAACGUUAUCAGGAAUGGGUUCACCAACCUAUCGUGAGCAAGGAGGGUCCACGCUUUUUUGGAAAUGACAUCUUGGAGUUCUUGACACGCACAAAGUGGUGGGCUGUGCCAACCAUAUGGCUGCCUAUUGUUUGCCGGUUGUUCGUGAAGUGUAUUCUGAUGGGUCGUACCAUUCAGGAAGUAGCUCUAAUGGCUCUAUUUGGAGUAUUCAUUUGGACAUUUGUUGAAUAUACAUUGCACCGCUUCCUAUUCCACAUUGAUACCAAAACCUAUUGGUCAAACACCGCACAUUACCUUCUUCACGGAUGCCACCAUAAGCACCCCAUGGACUCUCUCAGGCUUGUAUUUCCUCCUGCUGCAGCAGCAAUUUUGUGUGUCCCGUUCUGGAACCUGGUCGCGUUCUUCUCAACUCCAUCCACCACUCCCGCAAUAUUUGGUGGUGGCCUGUUAGGAUAUGUGAUGUAUGACUGCACUCACUACUAUCUGCACCAUGGACAACCAUUCAAAUACCCAGCGAAACAACUCAAGCGGUAUCACCUCAACCACCACUUCAGAAUCCAAGACAAGGGCUUUGGCAUCACCUCAUCAUUCUGGGAUGCUGUUUUUGGGACAUUGCCUCCAUCGACAACCAGGAAGAACUGACGCACAUAACACAAUCUUUGAAUGAAAACUUUUAGUGGAUUUGUAAUAUAUCGAGAUGCCAGAUUCCCUUGCUUUUCUCUGGGUGCCCACUACGAGUUGUCUGACAGCAAGAUGUGAUGAAAUCGUAAGAGAAAUAAUAUAGAAGCAUUACAGCUGGGAGAAGUGGGGAUAUCAGAUGGAUAUUCUAGGUGUCUACCUAGUCUACGGAAUACUGACUUAGAA